GACGAACGCUGGCGGCGUGCUUAACACAUGCAAGUCGAACGGAAAGGCCCUGCUUUCAUGGUCCUCGAGUGUCGCACGGGUGUGUAACACGUGUGUGUUCUGCCCUUCACUUCGGGAUAAGCCUGUUAAACUCGGUCUAUUAUCGCACAUAAGCCAUUUUUUUUCUUGUGGUUGGCAAGUUUUUUCGGUUUAGGAUGAGCUCGCGUCCUAUCAGCUUGUUUGUGGGGUAAUGGCCUACCAAGGCGGCGACGGGUAGCCGGCCUGAGAGGGUGGACGGCCACAAUAGGACUGAGAUACGGAGCAGAAGGCUACGGGAGGCAGCAGUGGGGAAUAUUGCACAAUGGGCGCAAGCCUGAUGCAGCGAGGCCGCGUGGGGGAUGACGGGCUUUAGGUUGAAAACGCGUGUCGCAAGGGAAGAAGCUUUUUGUGACGGUACCUAGAUAAGAAGCACCGGCUAACUACGUG
rnacentral:rRNA from 1 species